UACAGAGACUGCAAGCGUUAUUCGGAUUCACUGGGCGUAAAGGGUGCGCAGGCGGCCAUGUGUGUGAGGCGUGAAAGCCCGGGGCUUAACCCCGGAAUUGCACCUCAAACUACAUGGCUAGAGCAUUGGAGAGGGUAGCAGAAUUCACGGUGUAGCAGUGAAAUGCGUAGAUAUCGUGAGGAAUACCAGAGGCGAAGGCGGCUACCUGGACAAUUGCUGACGCUCAGGCACGAAAGCGUGGGGAGCAAACAGG
rnacentral:rRNA from 1 species